rnacentral:pre_miRNA from 1 species
ACCCCGCAGCUGGCCCGCCCCCAGGCUGGGCUGGGCGAGUAUCUCUUGGAAAGGCUCACCCUCAAGCAAGACUAGGAGC